rnacentral:rRNA from 1 species
CAGCAGCCGCGGGAAUACGGAGGGAGCUAGCGUUGUUCGGAAUCACUGGGCGUAAAGCGCACGUAGGCGGCUAUUCAAGUCAGGGGUGAAAGCCCGGGGCUCGACCCCGGAACUGCCUUUGAAACUAGAUAGCUUGAAUCUUGGAGAGGCGAGUGGAAUUCCGAGUGUAGAGGUGAAAUUCGUAGAUAUUCGGAAGAACACCAGUGGCGAAGGCGACUCGCUGGACAAGUAUUGACGCUGGGGUGCGAAAGCGUGGGGAGCAAACAGGAUUAGAUACCCGGGUAGUCCCUGUCUCUUAUAC